rnacentral:rRNA from 1 species
GAAAGUUGGCUUCGGCCAAUGAGUAAAGUGGCGCACGGGUGAGUAACGCGUGGAUAAUCUGCCCUUCAGCGGGGAAUAACCCAUCGAAAGGUGGGCUAAUACCCCAUAACACUGUUUCACAACUGUAAAGCAGUCAAAGAGAGCCUCUGCUUGCAAGCUUUUACUGAAGGUUGAGUCCGCGUACCAUUAGCUAGUUGGUAGGGUAAUGGCCUACCAAGGCGACGAUGGUUAGCUGGUCUGAGAGGAUGAUCAGCCACACUGGAACUGAGAUACGGUCCAGACUCCUACGGGAGGCAGCAGUGAGGAAUCUUGCGCAAUGGGGGAAACCCUGACGCAGCAACGCCGCGUGAGUGAGGAAGGUCUUCGGGUCGUAAAGCUCUGUCAGGCGGGAAGAAAUGCAUGGAGGUAAACAGCCGCCAUGCUUGACGGUACCGCCAGAGGAAGCACCGGCUAACUCCGUGCCAGCAGCCGCGGUAAUACGGGGGGUGCAAGCGUUGUUCGGAAUCAUUGGGCGUAAAGAGCGUGUAGGCGGCUUGAUAAGUCAGAUGUGAAAGCCCUGGGCUCAACCCGGG